CCCCGACGAUCUUGAGAAUAUGAUCGCUUAUCAGAUCGGCGCGCUUCAGGCUCUGGCUUCCUAUUCCGGUGUGAAGGUGACGCAUCUGAAGCCGCAUGGCGCGCUCAACAACAUGUCGGCUGAGAACUACGAUUACGCGCUUGCGAUCGGUCGUGCGAUCAAGGCGGUCGAUGACAGCAUCAUCUAUCUCGCGCUGUCCGGCUC
rnacentral:misc_RNA from 1 species